rnacentral:rRNA from 1 species
UACGAAGGGGGCUAGCGUUGCUCGGAAUCACUGGGCGUAAAGCGCACGUAGGCGGAUUGUUAAGUCAGGGGUGAAAUCCUGGAGCUCAACUCCAGAACUGCCUUUGAUACUGGGAAUCUCGUAGUCCGGGAGAGGUGAGUGGAACUGCGAGUGUAGAGGUGAAAUUCGUAGAUAUUCGCAAGAACACCCGUGGCGAAGCG